GGCAUUCUAGCUCUGGGGGAGAGUUAGUUGCUUUGCAAGCAGAAGGUCCCGGGUUCAAAUCCUGGCACCGUCU